CAAAAGCCAAAAAGACCUACGAAGAGUGUGUCCGACCAAAUAGAAGUACGAUUAUUGAGAUGGAUUGUCUAAAGGUAACUAGUGCAUGGGAAGGCGGGUGGGCAAUGGUUAUGAUAUGCAGCACACGAAUACAUGAUUUGAAAAGAACUGGAUGAUUUUUUAACGCGGAUUGCCUCCAACAGGAAACUAGGUGUGGUCCACCGUCAUGUUUGUGAGAAAUCCACCCCUUCCAUCCAUCUUUCCAGAUUAGGUUAUUACAUGAACCAAAAAAUGAGGCAGAUCCAGUACUUAACUGGGCGGCACCACCCGAAAAAGUGAUUAGGGGAAUGCCUAUCAUUGAAACCUCUUUGGGGUCCACCACGAGGUUUAUAUGUCAUUCAUACCGUUCAUAAACUCAUUCCUACUGGGAUGAACUGAUAACACAAAAAUAUGAGCAUGAUUCAAUACUUCUAUAGCCCCGCAAAUGUUUCAAUGGUUGACGUUCAAUCUUCACCGUUUCCUGUCGUGCAGCCCACUUGAUUUUUGAAUCUUCCUCAUUUUUUUUUGGUCCAUGUAGUAACAUGAUCUGCCGAAACAGAUGAACAGGGUGGAUUUCUCAGAAAAAUUACGGUGGGCCCACCUCGCUCUAUGUUGCAGGCAAACGGUGUCCGUAAGAUUUGGUCAUGUCCCAUCCAUUGUGAGACCAAACAGACCUAUGGUCUGGAUUGCCUAAUCAUGUCUACACCUUAAUCUAAAACUGGCAUAUACGAUCCCUUGCAGCUGGUUGUAGCAGUGUAACCUGCAUCUGCAUGCCAACAUAUCAAGUCAGUAUGAUGACUAGACGUGCAAAAGGUGCGAUCCGACGAGAAGAUCGGUGGACGAAGAAAUCGGGCCGAUCUAGUAAUCAAGUAGUCCAAUCCGCAUGAGAACACACAACUCCCAACUAGUUUGAUUGAAUGGACGCCGUGUGGCCCUGAUAUUGUUCCAUCCUGAUUUAUUUUUUAUUUUUUAUUUU